rnacentral:rRNA from 1 species
UAAUACGUAGGUGGCGAGCGUUGUCCGGAAUUACGGGGUGUAAAGGGCGUGUAGGCGGGGAUACAAGUCAGAUGUGAAAUACCGUGGCUUAACCACGGGGCUGCAUCUGAAACUGUAUUUCUUGAGUGUCGGAGAGGAAAGUGGAAUUCCCAGUGUAGCGGUGAAAUGCGUAGAUAUUGGGAGGAACACCAGUGGCGAAGGCGACUUUCUGGACGAUAACUGACGCUGAGGCGCGAAGGCGUGGGGAGCAAACAGG